AGAUUGCACUCAAAGGUUUGCUGCAACUUUUGGUCCUUUAUGGUAUUUUAUGAGUCAUUUAGCUGUAUAUUUGAAGUUCUGGUCGCUGAGAAAUAAAUCAAUAAUUGCAUUUGGCCUAGGCUUCUGUCCUUGCGCAGUCACGUGUUUUGAGCUCAUGUGGAAUUGAUGAGCUACCAAGCUCUACCAUACCAAUUGGUUGGCUAAGCAGAAUAAUUCAGUUCAAAGAGAAAUCUCGCAAGCUGGCGAGUUUUCAGAUUUAUGACGUGAUCUCAGUAACUUAUUAUUGAUCUUGUCAUUACUUAUUACUAUCAUUGUAGCUUUGACAUUAGUGUUUUGUACCAUAACCUUUUACCAGCGUUACCAGGAGAAGAAUUUGGCUGGCAUCUGAUAAACUUCUUUAGAAAUCAUCAUUGAGCAUCACCCCAUAUGCUUAGGUGCUGACAACAUUUUCCUCUUGUUCCUCUGUAAUGGUUCUGUAGAGAGAUGAAAAUGUUGGAGUUGCUCUAUUGACCUAUCCUGUUCUGAUGCCUUCUGAUAUUCUUUAGUAAUAGGUGGUUCUGGGAACAUGAGUAUCAUCUUUUAUUUGAGCAUGUCUAACAACUUUGAUAGUUUGAAUAUCUUAUUUGGAAAAUGCUGAUGAUAUUUUGAUAAAGUGAUUUGAAGAUGCACGAUUCAUACACAAUUGCGGCAUGCAUCUGCAGUCUGUUUCCCAGUUGGUGCAGAUCAGAAGCAGCAGUUGGAGUUGACUCAUCAGUUGGCUGAUCGUGUUAACUAUUUAUGUGGUGGAAGAAAGUGGAAAAAGCUGGGAUGGUGUUGUGUUGCUAUUUUUAAGGUUCUGAGGCUGCUAAUACUCCAGCUGGAGUUCGACUUAUGUCCCUCGGUGACGGUCUUGCAAAGACCAUGAAUCUAUAUUUAGAUAUGAAAAACUUGGAUACGGUAGACAAAUAUAAGAGUUGCUGAUCCAUCCACCUCUUAUAUAGUGCAAUUUCCUCUUUGAUGAUCUACUUGAGGGUGAUCACAUGGGAAUUCUUAGCACUUUAAGAACCCAGCAUAUUCUUUUGAACUUCUGUUUCUACGGUGAUAUUUUUCUCAGUGACUUAGGGUAUCAAAGUAAUGGUUAAGUCUUAAGCUUUUGUAAUAAUAUAGAAUAGAUAAACCAAACAGUCUUAAGGUGGCUUCAAUAAUCUCAUAGUCACAUAUUCAAUUAAUGUAACGCAUUCUUUACCAACUUUUUCACUUCCAUUGUUUAUUCAAGGUCAUAACAGUGGUUUCUUCAAACUUUAACCUAGUUAAUUGAUAUCCAAAAUAUGAUAAAAUGACCAGCAAAAAGAAAAUAAAUACUUCUUGAUGAAACUGUUCUACCUUAGAUGCUUGUUCUCCAGAAUGAAUUUUUCUGAUGCUGACUGAUAUAGAAUUUGGGGGUUGAAUUUUAUAGAUGUCCAAGUCUACACCUUCUGAUCAGUCUGGAAUAGAUCUACUUGACCCCAAAGAUGUGAGUGUUUAAUACAUUUCUGUGUUGUCUCUCCCUGCCGUGUGUCUGUUUGAAAAUGAUAAAGGUUUUAUAAAUCACAUGCAUACUACAGUUGAUGCUAGUAAUUAUGGGGAUUUGACCUGAAUUGGACUUCAAAAGCUAAUUGUGAGUUGCUGUAUUAUAGGGGGAAAGGAAUGGGUCUUGUGGACUAUCUUACAGUGUCUUUUUCUUAUAAGUUUAUAUGAUAAAUUUAGUACUACCUUUUGUAAGUCUUGUGGACUAUCUUACAGUGUCUUUUUCUUAUAAGUUUAUCUGAUAAAUUUAGUACUACCUUUUGUAAGUCUUGUGGACUAUCUUACAGUGUCUUUUUCUUAAAAGUUUAUCUGAUAAAUUUAGUACUACCUUUUGUAAUUAAUGAAUACUAGUAUGACUGCAUGCACUUAGUGAUGCUAUGGAAAAAGUUAUGGUGAUUAGCUGGUUCUAAAGUUCUGCUUUUACCCAUAUCCUUGCUUUGAUCAAAUAAUCUCAUUUUCUGGUGUAGGUUGUAGCAAACGAGAUGAAGUGUUGCAAGACCGACACAUUUCUGAUGUUAAUUCCUAGGCUAAUUUUUCCUUCUAUUUCCAUUUCUAUGUUCUUGUCUACUUAUUUCUCUAUAUGACAACAGAAUCUAAUGUGAAGUUCUCCUACUUAUAGUCUUGUUUGUGGCAAUUAUUGUAGCCUGGAAUUGACAAUCCUGAACAUCCUGAAUGCAACAAUCUUCUUUCAAUAUAUUAGCUAAUUUCAAUCAUUACAAAAGAGGUUUGAAGAUUAGGCAUUUCUUACUGGAGUUUUAGUGCUUUAUGUGCGUGACAUUUUAAAGUAUGACUUUCUGUUCUUGUCCAUCCAAGAAAGUCUGCUCUAUAGUAAUUCCAAAUUGAUUACAAGCUCUUUGGACUAAGCUAA